AUUGAACGCUGGCGGCAUGCCUUACACAUGCAAGUCGAACGGCAGCACGGGAGCAAUCCUGGUGGCGAGUGGCGAACGGGUGAGUAAUAUAUCGGAACGUGCCCAGUCGUGGGGGAUAACGCAGCGAAAGCUGUGCUAAUACCGCAUACGAUCUACGGAUGAAAGCGGGGGAUCGCAAGACCUCGCGCGAUUGGAGCGGCCGAUAUCAGAUUAGCUAGUUGGUGAGGUAAAGGCUCACCAAGGCGACGACCUGUAGCUGGUCUGAGAGGACGACCAGCCACACUGGAACUGAGACACGGUCCAGACUCCUACGGGAGGCAGCAGUGGGGAAUUUUGGACAAUGGGCGCAAGCCUGAUCCAGCAAUGCCGCGUGCAGGAUGAAGGCCUUCGGGUUGUAAACUGCUUUUGUACGGAACGAAACGGCGAGCUCUAAUACAGUUUGCUAAUGACGGUACCGUAAGAAUAAGCACCGGCUAACUACGUGCCAGCCGCCGCAGUAAAAC
rnacentral:rRNA from 1 species